rfam:Salmo salar isolate Sally breed double haploid chromosome ssa09, whole genome shotgun sequence.
UAUGUACAAUGUAAGUUGCUUUGGAUAAAAGCAUUUGCUAAAUGGCAUAUU